rnacentral:rRNA from 1 species
UACGAAGGGGGCUAGCGUUGCUCGGAAUUACUGGGCGUAAAGAGCUCGUAGGCGGUUUGUCGCGUCUGUCGUGAAAGCUUGGGGCUUAACCCCAAGUCUGCGGUGGAUACGGGCAGACUAGAGGCAGGUAGGGGAGAACGGAAUUCCCGGUGUAGCGGUGAAAUGCGCAGAUAUCGGGAGGAACACCGGUGGCGAAGGCGGUUCUCUGGGCCUGUACUGACGCUGAGGAGCGAAAGCGUGGGGAGCGAACAGG